UUCCAAAGUGUUGACAUCUCAGUUCAGGGGAACUUCCCUGCUCUGUUAAUUAAACCUUGGAAAUUGAAACUGGCUAGGGAAAAUGAUUGGAUGAGAAAUAUAUUAUUUUCUAUUCAUUUAUCCUAGCCUACAAAA
rnacentral:snoRNA from 1 species